CAACCUCAACUCAUAUGGGACUACCCCCUGAAUUUAAGCAUAUUAAUUAGGGGAGGAAAAGAAACUAACAAGGAUUUUCUUAGUAGCGGCGAGCGAAAAGAAAACAGUUCAGCACUAAGUCACUUUGUCUAUAUGGCAAAUGUGAGAUGCAGUGUAUGGAGCGUCAAUAUUCUAGUAUGAGAAAUUAAUGAUUUAAGUCCUUCUUAAAUGAGGCCAUUUACCCAUAGAGGGUGCCAGGCCCGUAUAACGUUAAUGAUUACUAGAUGAUGUUUCCAAAGAGUCGUGUUGCUUGAUAGUGCAGCACUAAGUGGGUGGUAAACUCCAUCUAAAACUAAAUAUAACCAUGAGACCGAUAGUAAACAAGUACCGUG
rnacentral:ncRNA from 1 species